rnacentral:rRNA from 1 species
UACGUAGGGGGCUAGCGUUGUCCGGAAUCAUUGGGCGUAAAGCGCGUGUAGGCGGCCCGGUAAGUCCGCUGUGAAAGUCGGGGGCUCAACCCUCGGAUGCCGGUGGAUACUGUCGGGCUCGAGUACGGAAGAGGCGAGUGGAAUUCCUGGUGUAGCGGUGAAAUGCGCAGAUAUCAGGAGGAACACCGGUGGCGAAGGCGGAUCUCUGGGCCUUACCUGACGCUGAGGCGCGAAAGCUAGGGGAGCAAACAGG